rnacentral:rRNA from 1 species
GAUGAACGCUGGCGGCGUGCCUAAUACAUGCAAGUCAAGCGAACAGAUGAGGAGCUUGCUCCUCUGACGUUAGCGGCGGACGGGUGAGUAACACGUGGAUAACCUACCUAUAAGACUGGGAUAACUUCGGGAAACCGGAGCUAAUACCGGAUAAUAUAUUGAACCGCAUGGUUCAAUAGUGAAAGACGGUUUUGCUGUCACUUAUAGAUGGAUCCGCGCCGCAUUAGCUAGUUGGUAAGGUAACGGCUUACCAAGGCAACGAUGCGUAGCCGACCUGAGAGGGUGAUCGGCCACACUGGAACUGAGACACGGUCCAGACUCCUACGGGGGGCAGCAGUAGGGAAUCUUCCGCAAUGGGCGAAAGCCUGACGGAGCAACGCCGCGUGAGUGAUGAAGGUCUUCGGAUCGUAAAACUCUGUUAUUAGGGAAGAACAAAUGUGUAAGUAACUAUGCACGUCUUGACGGUACCUAAUCAGAAAGCCACGGCUAACUACGUG